UUCUUGGCUUGUUUCUCUUUUGGGGCACAUAUUUUCAUAAAAUAAACCUUACUGAAAGACCUCCAGAGCAGGGAGACCCUCACUCAAGUCUCGGGAUGAUGCAACCCCCCAAGAACUCACGUGAGACC
rnacentral:pre_miRNA from 14 species